rnacentral:rRNA from 1 species
CGAAGGGGGCGAGCGUUAUUCGGAAUCACUGGGCGUAAAGCGUGCGUAGGCUGUCUAGAAAGUUGGAAGUGAAAGCCCAGGGCUCAACCCUGGAAUUGCUUUCAAAACUACUAGACUCGGAUUUGGGAGAGGAUAGCGGAAUUGUCAGUGUAGCAGUGAAAUGCGUAGAUAUUGACAGGAACACCGGUGGCGUAAGCGGCUAUCUGGACCAACAUCGACGCUGAGGCACGAAAGCGUGGGGAUCAAACAGGAUUAGAUACCCUGGUAGUCCACGCCGUAAACGAUGUGUGCUUGUCGCUGGGGAGUUCACUCUUCGGUGACGCAGCUAACGCGUUAAGCACACCGCCUGGGAAGUACGGCCGCAAGGUUA